CCUAUAUAUGCAAACAGAUUUGCAGUACCAACCUAUGCAGCCAAGCAACCUCAGCAGUUCCCAUCAAGGCCACCUCCACCACAACCGAAAGUAUCAUCUCAGGGAAACUUAAUUCCUGCCCGUCCUGCUCCUGCACCUCCUUUAUAUAGUUCCCUCACUUGAUUUUUUUAACCUUCUUUUUGCAAAUGUCUUCAGGGAACUGAGCUAAUACUUUUUUUUUUUCUUGAUGUUUUCUUGAAAAGCCUUUCUGUUGCAACUAUGAAUGAAAACAAAACACCACAAAACAGACUUCACUAACACAGAAAAACAGAAACUGAGUGUGAGAGUUGUGAAAUACAAGGAAAUGCAGUAAAGCCAGGGAAUUUACAAUAACAUUUCCGUUUCCAUCAUUGAAUAAGUCUUAUUCAGUCAUCGGUGAGGUUAAUGCACUAAUCAUGGAUUUUUUGAACAUGUUAUUGCAGUGAUUCUCAAAUUAACUGUAUUGGUGUAAGAGUUUUGUCAUUAAGUGUUUAAGUGUUAUUCUGAAUUUUCUACCUUAGUUAUCAUUAAUGUAGUUCCUCAUUGAACAUGUGAUAAUCUAAUACCUGUGAAAACUGACUAAUCAGCUGCCAAUAAUAUCUAAUAUUUUUCAUCAUGCACGAAUUAAUAAUCAUCAUACUCUAGAAUCUUGUCUGUCACUCACUACAUGAAUAAGCAAAUAUUGUCUUCAAAAGAAUGCACAAGAACCACAAUUAAGAUGUCAUAUUAUUUUGAAAGUACAAAAUAUACUAAAAGAGUGUGUGUGUAUUCACGCAGUUACUCGCUUCCAUUUUUAUGACCUUUCAACUAUAGGUAAUAACUCUUAGAGAAAUUAAUUUAAUAUUAGAAUUUCUAUUAUGAAUCAUGUGAAAGCAUGACAUUCGUUCACAAUAGCACUAUUUUAAAUAAAUUAUAAGCUUUAAGGUACGAAGUAUUUAAUAGAUCUAAUCAAAUAUGUUGAUUCAUGGCUAUAAUAAAGCAGGAGCAAUUAUAAAAUCUUCAAUCAAUUGAACUUUUACAAAACCACUUGAGAAUUUCAUGAGCACUUUAAAAUCUGAACUUUCAAAGCUUGCUAUUAAAUCAUUUAGAAUGUUUACAUUUACUAAGGUGUGCUGGGUCAUGUAAAAUAUUAGACACUAAUAUUUUCAUAGAAAUUAGGCUGGAGAAAGAAGGAAGAAAUGGUUUUCUUAAAUACCUACAAAAAAGUUACUGUGGUAUCUAUGAGUUAUCAUCUUAGCUGUGUUAAAAAUGAAUUUUUACUAUGGCAGAUAUGGUAUGGAUCGUAAAAUUUUAAGCACUAAAAAUUUUUUCAUAACCUUUCAUAAUAAAGUUUAAUAAUAGGUUUAUUAACUGAAUUUCAUUAGUUUUUUAAAAGUGUUUUUGGUUUGUGUAUAUAUACAUAUACAAAUACAACAUUUACAAUAAAUAAAAUACUUGAAAUUCUCUUUUGUGUCUCCUAGUAGCUUCCUACUCAACUAUUUAUAAUCUCAUUAAUUAAAAAGUUAUAAUUUUAGAUAAAAAUUCUAGUCAAAUUUUUACAGAUAUUAUCUCACUAAUUUUCAGACUUUUGCCAAAGUGUGCACAAUGG
rnacentral:misc_RNA from 1 species